rnacentral:rRNA from 1 species
AUGGCGCUCGGCGCCCGCCUCCUCCUGGGCCUCGCGCUGCUUGCGGCCCUUAUCGCCGUUCUCCUCCAGCUCUACCGCCUCAGGAAGCCGAGGUUGUGGACACUGGAGGAGUUGUCGGUAUACAAUGGAACGGAUGAGGGGUUGCCCAUAUUGCUUGGUAUUUUGGGCUCGGUGUUUGACGUCACAAAAGGAAGGUCACAUUAUGGCCCUGGAGGAGGCUAUCAUCACUUUUCGGGCAGGGACGCAUCACGAGCUUUUGUUUCUGGAAAUUUUACAGGUGAUGGGCUGACAGAUUCUUUGCAGGGUUUAUCUAGCAUGGAGGUAAAUAGCAUUGUUGACUGGAGGAAAUUUUACGUUGAGAGAUACAUAUUUGCUGGUAAAAUUGUUGGACGCUACUACGACAGCGAGGGCAAUCCUACAAAAUAUCUGAAGGGUGUGGAGAUGAAGGCAAAAAGGGGUGCUCAGCUUCUUGAGAAGCAGAAGAGGGAGGAAGAUAAAAUACCCAGCUGUAAUUCAAAAUGGAGCGAAGCAGAGGGUGGAGAAGUUUGGUGCGAGACAGGGUACCCAAGGUUAGUGAGGAGGCCGGGCGACAUAGCUCUGACGGGGCAGGUGAGCCAGCGGUGCGCCUGUUUCCAGGAGGGGGAGCUCGGGCGGCCGGGGCUAGUGGUGUACGAAGGCUGUGAUUACCACUCCACAUCGUGCAUAGUCAAGUAG